rnacentral:rRNA from 1 species
GAUGAACGCUAGCGGCAGGCCUAAUACAUGCAAGUCGAGCGGUGUCUUCGGACAUAGUGUCGCACGGGUGCGUAACACGUAUGCAACCUACCUUACAAGUGUGGAUAGCCUUUCGAAAGGGUGAUGAAUAACCCAGAAGACAGUAGCUUGGCAUUCAUCAGCUGUUAAAGAUUCAACGAUGUAAGCUGGGCAUGCGUCCAAUUAGCUAAUUGGCGAGGUAACGGCUCACCAAGGCAAUGAUUGGUAGGGGAACUGAGAGGUCAAUCCCCCACACUGGCACUGAGAUACGGGCCAGACUCCUACGGGAGGCAGCAGUAGGGAAUAUUGGGCAAUGGACGCAAGUCUGACCCAGCCAUGCCGCGUGCAGGAUGAAGGCGUAUGCGUUGUAAACUGCUUUUAUACAGGAAGAAACGACUCUUGCGAGAGGCAUUGACGGUACUGUAUGAAUAAGCACCGGCUAACUCCGUGCCAGCCGCCGCAGUAAUAC